UGUCUGUGACUCUGCAUUUGUUCCUACCUCAGCAUCAGAAAGGUGAUAGACCCUGAAAGGAGCAGGCCAUGGUAUGUCGCUGGGUGAGUCUGCCUCACAUGCAGCAGAACUCCUCUGAACCUUGACUGAAAAGCAGGAAAUAUUCUUCCCGCUGUGCAAACUUGGAAAGCGUGACCAUCCCUGCAGUGUGAGCCACAUUUAUGACAAGCUUUCAGAAAGAUAAUAUUUCACAUUGUUCUGAGAUUCACAUUUCUGCAUGCCCUGUGACCCAGGAGUGACAAGGAUGUGAGUCCUGUGUGCAGUUCACCUCAUCUAGGCUGAUAGAAUUUUGAACCUCAGAUCCCAGGACAGAGAAACAAUCAUAUCUACAAAGGUAAAUUUCUGCAGCGUCAUGUGUCGUGCAAGUGUGAACAAGAAGAGUUGGUCUUUUGAGAGCAGCGGAAACUUCCCAUUCUUCUUGUCUUCUUAUGACCUGUUUUCCAUAAGCAAUACCACAAUACUUUUGUAGCCAAGCAACUGAUCAUUAUUUACCUAUUUCUUCUCGCUCCUGGAAGCGAGGUCAGUAUCCUGCAGUAUCUGAAAGGAAGAGCUGACAAUGAUCAGUAUCCACUAUCUGACAGGAAGGCAUUUUCCAGCUUCUGAUGGUAUGCUAAGUCUGUGCAUUUUACUGACUUUUUUUUCUUCUACCUUCUAUUCAUUUGUCAGAGGGGCAGUGGCAUAUGGUUACAGACUCUCUUUAGUGCAAGAUUCACCGAAAAGCUGUGAAGUGACAGUAUGAGACUGCAGAGAAAUGUAUCAGAGUCAUGUCAGAGGCUCUCGUCUGCAACUACAUGGAUGAGCCAGCCCAAAAGCCGGUCCAGCUCCAGGUUCCCAGUAAGAUUCCUCCAAUCGCAUAGCAAAGCAGCGGACAAAAGCUCUCCUCACCUACUGCAGUGCUUCAGCUUACCUCUACUGCUUUGGCAUAGGAGGAAGAAAACCUGACUUUAGAAAAGGAAUUCAGACAGGAAGCAGCAACGUUCCAGGAAGAUUUCCGAGUCAAACAGGAAAGCAACUGGAUUCUCAAAGUGCAUAUUUCAGAGAUUCCCCAAAACAUUUGGCUACAGAGUUGGAGCAGGGCUGAGGAACCAGUGCCUCAGACGACCUGGACUCCCCAGCACUUGUGCAAUGUGUCAGAGAUGAGCAUCAUGAGCCUCUUUGGAGCAGAAAGAGAAACCCCUGUACUCUGGACAACUCUGGGAUCAUGUACACUGAGCUGAGAUGGCAGAAGAACUAAAGAAGCUCAUGAAGUCGAGGAUGGCAGAGCACAACAGUGAUGGCAGCAAGGAUGUUCUUCCAUCAGCAGAAGGUUAAACCAGAACUGGGCAGACAGGAUUAAGCCUUCCAGCACUUUGUACUGAGGCAUCAAGAACAGAACAAGCAGCAUCCUACUGGUUUCUGCACAGGUAAAUCUGCUGUGUAUGAGCGACACUAGAUUUUUUUUGCAAGGCAUGUUUCAGGGAUGACACAGAGACUGACUUAGCCUCACAUUUCAUUGAGGAUAGCCUCUCUAUGAUCAGACAUUUCUCUCUUGGAGUAAGAAUGCUGUAACCUCAGGGCUCACCAGAAAUGAUCAUGCACCAGUAGGCUGUGGGUUUUUUUUUUCCAUGCUGCGCUGUUUCAUGAGAUGUGGUGACUGACUCACAGCGCUGCUCUCUCUUUGAGCAGUAUGUUUGGGGUGUAGCUUUAAUGGACUUACUCUAAAGUGGAAUUUUUAGCUCUAAAUGCAAUUGGUCAGCUUUUUCCUCCUCCCCCCCCACCUUUACUGUGCAACACUUCACACAAAGCAUUUCCUUAAUUUGUCAGAGCAAGUGGGGAUAACAAAAUUAACAGGAGAUUUGGCUCAUUUCCUCACCUAAUAGCAACUAAGAAAAAAUGAAAUAUGUGGCUGACAUUUUAAUUAAGGGCCUGUUUUGCCUGCAGAGGCACAUGUCUAUAUGUGCCAUCAUACCCUAACUGCAGCCAUUUUCGUUAACUCACUAAUAAGAGGAAGUAUAAAUUAAUUUCCCAUCUGCCACACUUUGCGUUUCAGAAAUUACCUAAAUUGCACCCUCAAAAUACUGUUACUGAGUGCUGCUGUCUAAAAUAUGUUCAUAUUUAAUGUGUCUUAGAGUAUAAUGAUUCUAACAUAAGAUAUACUGUCUCUAUGACUACUGCUGUUAUGGCUUUAAACCAAAUCCCAUUGGUCACACUAUUAAGGGUAUAUUUGUUCCACCAACGUGGAAAGAAACCGAUGCAAAAAGAAACCCAAAAGAAACCGAUACAAAAAGCCAGCAGUUCAUUCAGAAAUGUAAAUGACUUCGUAUUACUUUAUUAAAUAGCCAAUUCUAGAGAACAGUAAAAAAUAUGAAAACAUGCAUCAUUUGGUGUUUUUUUUAAAAAUACGUGUCCAAAAUAAAGACUGUUAGAAAAAUUAAAAAGUUUUAGGCCCAAGGCACCUUCUUCUUUCCACAUAAAAGGUGUUGGGUAGUUAUAAAUACUGUUCCACCUCCUUUAGCAAAGUUUAACAAUGUAUACAUUAGUAUUUCCAUUACAGUUUUUUUUCACAUUUCAUUGUAAACAAAAUCAAUUUUAAAAAAUGCCUUGUUAGCAAGCUUAAGGAACUAUUGCUGUCCUGUACAGUAAAUACAAAUAGGAAGACCCUCAAUUUACCUUCCAUUUUAAUCAGUACUCCAUUUACCAAAACAUUAAAGAUUUCAAUUAGUAUAAAAAUAUAACUAAAGACCUGCAGAGAUUCAGUAUUUGAGUGAGUCUUAGUUAACAAGCAAAUAAAAUGCUAUGGAAUUCCAAAUCUGAAGUUUGUUUCUGUACAGCUGUUGCUCUUCUGAGAGCUGAGUAUCACAAUGGUGUAUACAAAUACACUGGUUAUCCAUUAGAAACAGUCACUUUUUAUUUACCACAAAUAAUUUAACAUUUAGCUGAACUAAAAACCACGUGCUAAAAGAUGGUUUUCCAUGUUUUGUGUAUGUACAGAGGUCAAAGCGCUAAUUAACAAACCGCUUCAAUGGGCACCUGCUCUUCGCAAGGCGGGACUUCCUCUUGCAUUACAUUUUUGGAAUCUGGCCUCCAAUAAAGAAUAAGACAAAACAGAGUGCUGCAUCUAUAGCAAUGGUAAUUGUAUAAUCAAAUUUCUUGCAUAAACAUGGCCAAAUAUCAUCUGCAUCAAGGCUUGUACAUACCAUCAAGUUCCAUUCAUUCACUCCAGAAAUCUGUAAGUCAAAACUGUACAUCUUUUAAACCAUGAACCGAAAGCAUUAUGGUUUUCUAAGCUCUGAUUUUUUUAAGCACUUCUCAAGUACGAGGCAGUAACAAGCUCAAUCUUGCAUGACUGCUUUUUCCAAACGUUUUACAGCAGCAUUUUGAACAUACCUAUUUCCAAUUCUUUUGUUUGGAUUCCUGCAAACAAAGGACACAAAAAUCAGACCAGCCAGGAAACAGCAGCAACAGGCACCCAGUGAUGUCAGCCUACUCUCGGUAAGGAAGAUGAUAUUAAGCACUAACCCCCCAUGUGAAGAGCAACAGGCACAUACAGAAAAAUGAAAGGAGACUAGAAGAAAGGAAAGAUAAUGCUCUGUCUCAGAGUUGGACAGAAUCUUCAGGAUUGACUUAGCCUGGGCUUAAAUUAUUACUAACUGAACCAAUAUAACAAUUGUUUCCCUUGCUUUUUGGAAUGAAAAUGAUGCUGCCUGAAUGGUUAGAUGCUAUCAGAUUGUUACAGGCUAGUAUAGAAACAAUACUGUCACAGGCUACAUUUGAAUAAAAAUCUUGAGUUGAAAAAUUUUGUAUAAAAGAACAAAGUAUCUGAAAACGUGAAGGAAAACAGCAAGUACUGUCAGACACCACACAUUAUAGUUACUAAGCUCUUAGUAGAUACUCCUAUGUGGUAAACGGUAUUUCCUUUUUAGAAAGGCCCAACCUGCUGGGUAAACUAAGAUCUUCACAAGAGCAAUAAUGAGCUGUUCUGUGCAAAGCAGAAUGAACAAAGGUGGGCUUCUAUUCGCAAAUGGUAUGUCAGCUACCGUUGUUACUCAGAAGUAGCUUUCUUCCCUUUCCAGCUCUUUUGUCUUUGCUCCAGUUCUGCUUCAGUGAAGGCUGCUGGGCCCCAGUUUGUGAUUAAGUGAGGAUUCUUGGAACCUGGAAGACAAAGUGCAAUACUUGAAACAGGCAUUUCCGACACUAACAUCACUCACACACCAUCGGUGGGGCAGAGUUGGAGUUGGCACAGGAUGAUUCUGCAAGUCCUCCCUUGGCAGUAGCAGAUUUCACACAUAUCUGGAUGCUGGCACUGCAACUUGAGAUGUCAAAGGUUGGACACCAGCUAGGGAUGUUGGCUUUGCUAAGAGAAGAGCAACUAUAACAAAAGAGUGAAGGUAAGUGCUAGAGGAAAGUGAAACAGAAGCUGAAUGUCUAUGGUCAUUAAGCCUCUGAUCCGAUUUCCCCUGUUUCACUGACCAGAGCAGGAAACUACGGGUGUUGUGGCACCAGAAUCAACCGUCCUCCUGUUUGGCUCACACUGUCGUUGAGCUGAGGGGGGAUAAAGCACCAAAACCUCAGCAUUUAGUAAUACGUAACAUUUACUUCACAGAAGGUAAGCACUGCUCCUUAAGUCAGCAAAAAAAAAAGCUUGUUUCAAGUGUGAUAGGAUGGCCUGUCCUGCUCCACUGCUCAGUGGACUGCUUUCCCUCAGCUAACCUAAAUCCCACUGACCCAGAAAGCGAGCGUAUUCAAGAACUCACACUCAUCCCAUAAAGUAGUACUGCACGUGCAUUUGUCCUGAGAUGUUCCAUUACAUCAGCCUAUUUCUACUUCUUUUCUGCAGCUGACAGAAGAACCUAUUAUACCUAUUAUACCGACAAAACCCUUGAAGAUCAAAAAUUAGUUGUUUUAUAAAUCCUUGGCAUGAUAACAGCAUUUUAAAGCUGCAGUUUUUCUUUAAUGUUGCAUGUGUAUAAAUACAAAAGAAUGAACAGUAUAAAAAAAAGAACAGUUUGGGGAAUAUAAUCAACUCAGAAAAUUCCUAAAAUGCACUCUAAUUAUACCUUUGUAUGUGUUAUAUGAAUAUACAAAAUGAACCAGUCUCAAGUUCUUCAUCCCUGAAAACUGCAACGAUAACUUCAGUCUGUGUUUUAUCUCGUAAACAGUUCAUUCUAUUCAUGAUUUUCCAAUAAUAUUUAAGCUCUGAAUGCUAUACAAAUUGUAGGUAGGGUGUUUCAAUUCUUUUUUCACUACUAAAUAUAUUUUAUGUCUCUAGUAAAUGUAAUGCAGACUGCACUCAACUUCCUGCAAAUUCUUCUGAAACCUUUCAGUGAUUGCCUAUGAGGGAAAUCAUUGCUGAAAGCACUGCUCACUAUGUGGAAUUAUAGCAAAAA